UUAAAUUGGAUGGAUGAUAGUAGCCGUAGGGCAAGAUGAAAAGACCGAUCCAAAGGAACGAGUUGCAAAGAACGAGUUGCAAAGGGAUGAAUGUCGACGCUGGGAAUCGUCGAAUCCCAAUUUUAUGGUAGCUCGCUAUUUCUUUUCCUGCCCUUAAUUUUCAGCAAUUACUGCAUUUAUUUGAUCCUAAAUAUGUACAGGGGGUUUGGGUUACUCCAGUUUUCCUGGUAUCUUGCUUAAGCAAUCUUUUUUUUUUUUAGUUGUUCUGAUGCAGUUUUUGUUCUUAUUACAUUUGAUUUGGUUGAUCUGAAUUAGCUUACACAUAUUUAUGCCAAAUGCAUUUAUGCCGCCUCGUUUGGAAAUUAGGUUUAUUAGACAAUUUUAUUUCAAAUUGGUGGCAAGUGAUGUUUGAUGCACGGAAAUGUUGUAAUAGAUCCUGUAGUGAAUCGUUAAUUUGAUCGGAGCUUGUAAUUUUACUGCGUGUGUGGAUUUCAUCACUUAUAUGAUCAUAAGAAGCUAGAGAGUGAACCUGUACUUCUAUAUCUAAGGUGGUUACUGAUAUAUGUUGCACAAUUUAAGAGAUAAUCGUGUUUGAAUGGACUCGAUGUCAAUUGAUGAACAAAGACGUACAGUUUUAAGGUGCAAGUAGUUAACCGAGAGACUCGAUUUACUAAUGACUCAUCUGUCGAGUCCCAUUUUGCAUAUUAGGUACCUGAAGCUUGUCAUACUUCCUGCAUUACCUCAAACACUGAUUUCACUAAGUAUCGUAAUCGCAUGGUUAAUUAAGAUUCAGCAUAUUUGAUUGUUCAGAGAACAUCCAGAAUUUGGUGCUAUCUUCGGGCUAAUUACACAAGUCUUUUGUGGAUGUAACUCUGUGUUUCUUGUUUUGAUUCUUUGUCUUCUUCCAUGCUUUUUUUUUUUUUUUUGUUUGAGAUCCUUUAGGAAUAAAUUAAAUAUGCAAACUUUCAUGCUUAAACCCACUGAACAAUUCUUCAUUCGGCUUCUGAAAUAGGCAGGAUAACUUAUGAUAAACGAUUCAGCAUGAAUUUCUGAUGCAAAUAGCCUAUUCGGGACGUCAAAGAAUAGCCUAUUCGGUGGGAUUUCUCAUGAAAAUUAAGCCUUUGCUACAAGAAAAAACCAUCAAUGUUGUGCUUAUAACCUGUCACCACUCAUCAAAGCCAAGUGGCUGAUUUUGGAAUUCCAGUUAUGACUUAUUAGACCAUUAUUUCAUUUGGAAUUCUUAUUUUUUUAUUUUUUUAUUUUGUGUGUGUGUGUGUAUCAAUAUAGCUAAGUUGUUUGAGUUUUGGCACCUUCCCGACUAAAUGUAAGUAUGAAUGCUGUACAUUUCAAGUAUGAAAAGGGAUGAUAUCAUAUUCAAAUUAAACUGUAUAAUCGGCUAUUGACUGAGAUACUGUGGUCCUGGAUUUCCUUGUGAACUCUAUCCAUUAGUUUUGAGAUCAUUUCAGCUUCACAAUAUAUACCUUUGCUUCUAUUUUCCAGCAUUUUCUUGUUCUACUCGCAGGUCUUUUUCGUGCUCUUUUUUUUUUAUAAUUAUUAUUAAUGUGAAAGAGUUUAUAGCA
rnacentral:lncRNA from 1 species